rnacentral:rRNA from 1 species
UACGGAGGGGGCGAGCGUUAUUCGGAAUUAUUGGGCGUAAAGGGCGCGUAGGCGGCUGGGCAAGUCAAAGGUGAAAUCCCUCGGCUCAACUGAGGAACUGCCUUUGAAACUGCCUGGCUUGAGGCCGGGAGGGGGUAGCGGAAUUCCCAGUGUAGCGGUGAAAUGCGUAAAUAUCGUAAGGAAGACCAGUGGCGAAGGCGGGUCUCUGGACAGUUCCUGACGCUGAGGCACGAAGGCCAGGGGAGCAAACGGG